rnacentral:rRNA from 1 species
UUUUUCGAAAAGAGGAGGCGCCGCCGACCUCAACCCCUCAUGUGAACCCCACCCGUUGCUUCGGGGGCGACCCCGCCGGCACGCGUGCCGGCGCCGGGCGCCCCCGGAGGUCUCCUCAACACGGCAUCUUCUGCGUCGGAGCGUCACAGCAAUGACACAAAACUUUCAACAACGGAUCUCUUGGUUCUGGCAUCGAUGAAGAACGCAGCGAAAUGCGAUAAGUAAUGUGAAUUGCAGAAUUCAGUGAAUCAUCGAAUCUUUGAACGCACAUUGCGCCCUUUGGUAUUCCGAAGGGCAUGCCUGUUCGAGCGUCAUUACACCCCUCAAGCCCCGGCUUGGUGUUGGGCGUCGCGGCCCCGCGCGCCUCAAAGUCUCCAGCCAGGCCGUCCGUCUCCUAGCGUCGUGCAGUCACAUCAUCCGCUUUGGAGCGCGGGCGGCCGCGGCCGUCAAACCGUCCACUCAGGUGACCUCGAUCAGAGGACCCACCC